AAUCAUUGCCCUAGACACUCGUUGCUCUCAAAUGAUGCUGACGACAAAGUGAUUCUGUUUUAUCAAACUGAAAAUCCGAAUUAUAAUGUAAAUUGUGAUCUUCGAAAUUGAGGUUAUGAAAUUGACAUAACUCUAUUUAUAAACAAUAUGAACGACCGCGUUGGAGGAUAUGAAUGCAUUGGAACCUUGACAUGUGUUUUACUGUGUUUCUCAUCACGAUAAUAGAAAAUCUAGUGCUCAAAUUCACAAUCUAAUGAACAUACAGCCAUACAAAAGAUGUCUUAAAGAGGUAUGCCUCCACUGACAAAGUGAAUUAAGUUGCCUACUCGAAAAGCAACUUUGCAAGGAAGCAAGUUUACUACCCACUGAAAUGUUCCCUUGGUACUUGAUGGGAUUAUGGAAUGAAACUGGCAAUAUUACAAUGUGAUAAAGAUAUUCCUGAUGGCGAUGAGUGAUGACUAACUUUCAAAACUACAAGAUGAACCCCUUCCACUUCUAGAAUGUGAAGAAUGCUGCCAUAUUACCGGCCCAUAUGAUCAUCAUGACAACUGUCUACCGUUGUCUACCCCGAUACAAGGAAAAUUACAAAUAUGUUGCUAAGCUUAAUAUUAGAUGACUAGAAGCAGUUAGAAGAAUAAAGAACGGUUCCUGAGUUUUACAAUGACCGACUAACUUUUGAUGACCGAUGAAGAAGACUAUGCCAGCAAAAGACAGACAACAGAUGUACUUCGAAUAGCAAUAUGACCAAAGCACUACCUUACAUUAUUAAGACUAGAAUAUUGAAUAUAUAAUAAAAGUUUAAGUUGUAAAAUAAUAAUGCGGAUUUCAUAUAUAAUUAUGUUUAUUUUUAAUUAAAGGUAUGCAAGUGUUUGCUUUUCACUCAACCCUCAACUGCAUGAAUUAGAUGAUAUUUGUCAGAGUUUGCACUUCAAGGCAUGUCAAUAUUUUGUGAUUGACUAUCUGACAAGUAUUUAAUAAAGAAUUUGAGUCCAAUAGUCAAAGUCACUCGCACUCCGCUUCACGAUCAACAAAAUGUGAGUGUCCUCAGAAAAGCGUCCCACCUAACGACAACGUGAGACGCCCCACCAAACACACUCACAAUUAUAACUAAAAAAGCUACUGUUUAGUAUUGUAAUGUAUAUGAAAUAUACCUCAUGUAAUUAAAAGAAAACCCUAUGGUAAUACCUCACAUCCUGGUUACGGCCUAUCCAAAAUUGUACCGAACUUCUGCACCCACUCGCUUAUUUACUUACUUACUUGACUAAACAUUCUUACAACUAACCAUCCUUUAAAAAUACCCCGUAGAUUUGGCCUUGUGAUCGUCUAAUGGUAGUAGAAGGACCCCUCGAUAUGAACCAUAGCAACCCAAACUCUUUAAUGCGAAGUAGAUACGACUA